CCUACGGGUGGCUGCAGUGAGGAAUAUUGGUCAAUGGGCGGGAGCCUGAACCAGCCAAGCCGCGUGAGGGAAGAAGGUACAGCGUAUCGUAAACUUCUUUUGUCAGGGAACAAAGGCAGGGACUAGUCCCCGGAUGCGGGUACCUGAAGAAAAAGCAUCGGCUAACUCGGUGCCAGCAGCCGCGGUAAUACGGAGGAUGCGAGCGUUAUCCGGAUUUAUUGGGUUUAAAGGGUGCGUAGGGGGAAUGCGAAGUCAGAGGGAAAAUCUUGGGGCUCAACCUCGCACUGCCGUUGAAACUGGCGGUCUUGAGUGGGCGAGAGGUAGGCGGAAUGCGUGGUGUAGCGGUGAAAUGCAUAGAUAUCACGAAGAACUCCGAUUGCGAAGGCAGCAUACCG
rnacentral:rRNA from 1 species